rnacentral:rRNA from 1 species
AGAGUUUGAUCCUGGCUCAGGAUGAACGCUGGCGGCGUGCUUAACACAUGCAAGUCGAACGGGGAACAUUUUAUGGAAACUUCGGUGGAAAUAGCUUGUUCCUAGUGGCGGACGGGUGAGUAACGCGUGGGUAACCUGCCUCACACUGGGGGAUAACAGUCAGAAAUGACUGCUAAUACCGCAUAAGCGCACGGGAUUGCAUGAUCCAGUGUGAAAAACUCCGGUGGUGUGAGAUGGACCCGCGUUGGAUUAGCCAGUUGGCAGGGUAACGGCCUACCAAAGCGACGAUCCAUAGCCGGCCUGAGAGGGUGGACGGCCACAUUGGGACUGAGACACGGCCCAGACUCCUACGGGAGGCAGCAGUGGGGAAUAUUGCACAAUGGGGGAAACCCUGAUGCAGCGACGCCGCGUGAAGGAAGAAGUAUCUCGGUAUGUAAACUUCUAUCAGCAGGGAAGAAAAUGACGGUACCUGACUAAGAAGCCCCGGCUAACUACGUGCCAGCAGCCGCGGUAAUACGUAGGGGGCAAGCGUUAUCCGGAUUUACUGGGUGUAAAGGGAGCGUAGACGGAGCAGCAAGUCUGAUGUGAAAGGCGGGGGCUCAACCCCUGGACUGCAUUGGAAACUGUUGAUCUUGAGUACCGGAGAGGUAAGCGGAAUUCCUAGUGUAGCGGUGAAAUGCGUAGAUAUUAGGAGGAACACCAGUGGCGAAGGCGGCUUACUGGACGGUAACUGACGUUGAGGCUCGAAAGCGUGGGGAGCAAACAGGAUAAGAUACCCUGGUAGUCCACGCCGUAAACGA